UGCCCUGUCGUCUAAUUGGUAGGACGCAAGAUUCUGGUUCUUGUAGUUUUGGUUCGAGUCCAAGCGGGGCAGCCA
rnacentral:tRNA from 1 species